rnacentral:rRNA from 1 species
ACACAUGCAGUCGAGCGGUAGCACAGAGAGCUUGCUCUCGGGUGACGAGCGGCGGACGGGUGAGUAAUGUCUGGGAAACUGCCUGAUGGAGGGGGAUAACUACUGGAAACGGUAGCUAAUACCGCAUAACGUCGCAAGACCAAAGAGGGGGACCUUCGGGCCUCUUGCCAUCAGAUGUGCCCAGAUGGGAUUAGCUAGUAGGUGGGGUAACGGCUCACCUAGGCGACGAUCCCUAGCUGGUCUGAGAGGAUGACCAGCCACACUGGAACUGAGACACGGUCCAGACUCCUACGGGAGGCAGCAGUGGGGAAUAUUGCACAAUGGGCGCAAGCCUGAUGCAGCCAUGCCGCGUGUAUGAAGAAGGCCUUCGGGUUGUAAAGUACUUUCAGCGGGGAGGAAGGUGUUGAGGUUAAUAACCUCAGCAAUUGACGUUACCCGCAGAAGAAGCACCGGCUAACUCCGUGCCAGCAGCCGCGGUAAUACGGAGGGUGCAAGCGUUAAUCGGAAUUACUGGGCGUAAAGCGCACGCAGGCGGUCUGUCAAGUCGGAUGUGAAAUCCCCGGGCUCAACCUGGGAACUGCAUUCGAAACUGGCAGGCUAGAGUCUUGUAGAGGGGGGUAGAAUUCCAGGUGUAGCGGUGAAAUGCGUAGAGAUCUGGAGGAAUACCGGUGGCGAAGGCGGCCCCCUGGACAAAGACUGACGCUCAGGUGCGAAAGCGUGGGGAGCAAACAGGAUUAGAUACCCUGGUAGUCCACGCCGUAAACGAUGUCGACUUGGAGGUUGUGCCCUUGAGGCGUGGCUUCCGGAGCUAACGCGUUAAGUCGACCGCCUGGGGAGUACGGCCGCAAGGUUAAAACUCAAAUGAAUUGACGGGGGCCCGCACAAGCGGUGGAGCAUGUGGUUUAAUUCGAUGCAACGCGAAGAACCUUACCUACUCUUGACAUCCAGAGAACUUUCCAGAGAUGGAUUGGUGCCUUCGGGAACUCUGAGACAGGUGCUGCAUGGCUGUCGUCAGCUCGUGUUGUGAAAUGUUGGGUUAAGUCCCGCAACGAGCGCAACCCUUAUCCUUUGUUGCCAGCGGUCCGGCCGGGAACUCAAAGGAGACUGCCAGUGAUAAACUGGAGGAAGGUGGGGAUGACGUCAAGUCAUCAUGGCCCUUACGAGUAGGGCUACACACGUGCUACAAUGGCGCAUACAAAGAGAAGCGACCUCGCGAGAGCAAGCGGACCUCAUAAAGUGCGUCGUAGUCCGGAUUGGAGUCUGCAACUCGACUCCAUGAAGUCGGAAUCGCUAGUAAUCGUAGAUCAGAAUGCUACGGUGAAUACGUUCCCGGGCCUUGUACACACCGCCCGUCACACCAUGGGAGUGGGUUGCAAAAGAAGUAGGUAGCUUAACCUUCGGGAGGGCG